UCUUUUUUUUUUAAUCCCAUUCUGCCCUGCCUGCCCUGGCUCUUCUCCAGCUUCUGUGUGCACGGCAGGUCCUGUUUAUGUCUCCCAGCCCCUGACUGACUUGGACACUUGUGAAUUCCCCCUCGAUUCUGUGGGCUAAAUUGCUGUUAUGUUUAUGAUCUUUACAGUUUGUAAUAUACAGCUUAUAGUUAUCAUAAAUAAAUAUUUACAUAUUUUAAGUGGGAUAACUAUCUAGUUAAUGGUAUUCGUGGUCAGAUCCAGGUCCUGCACGGUGAUGUGAGUGGAUCUGGACGUUGUGUUUGUCUCCCUCAAGUACGGUUGUUCUGGUCUCCGUCAGCACAUGCCUCAGCUCCCUCCAGACUUUCCACCCUCAGACUCCUCUCUGGGUUCUCAUUUGAUGCUCCUUUCUCUGUGGGACCUUUCCCCCUCAAGAGUCUAGCAGUCUCCUGCCAGCUCCACUGAAACCUAGGCUUUCCUGUCACAUCGCUGGUCCUGAUAUGCUGGGUUCUGUCACUGGCCCUAGAGCCAUUUCAAGGCAAGGACUUGCCCAUUAAACAAUAGCAACACAACCGUUUUCUUUCUUUUUAAUGUAAGUGAAUUAAUAUAAUGUAAAAUUCACCACUUUAAGGCAAACAGCUCAGUACUUACUCUGGUCUGGUUUCAUUUCCUCCAACAAAUCCGUGAACGCAUGAUGACGAAGGCUCUGGUAGCGGUAAUGUUUACACAGCUUCAUGCAUGUGCUUCAUGCCGCAGACUGGCACCCUUCAGGGUGUUAAGAGAUCAGUUUUGGGACAUGUAUUUUGUUACAUACAAAAGCUCAGACCGCGAGCAGGCAUUUCUUUUUCCUGCCGUUUCCCUAACUUGGAGCCCAGUGUGUGCUUCAGACAUCCAUCAUUUUGCCCCUGGUUCAUAACCUAGUUGCUGAAUAAAACUCGAUUUCUGAAUAAGCACACAGAGUACCAGGUUUCUCUAUGGUAUUUCCAUCUGUCCUUUACGAUGAGCAAAUGAAGUGGGUUUUGCUUUUACAUUUAUUCUUGAUGCCAUUUGAAGACUGUGUGUACUGGGAGUAUUAACCACUAGGGAAACUUCUUUCAAAUAUUUCAAUAGAGUUUAUUUGCGAGUCUUCUAAUUUUAUUUGCAAAGCUCCAUAGGAAUGACUCUGAAACCAAAAACUAUUUUUUUUAAAUUGUCAUUAUUUUAUUCUUUGUACAUGGAUGCUUUGCCUGUACACGAUCUAUGUGUAUGACUACUUCAUAAGCCACCUUGUAGGUGCUGGGAAUUGAACCUGGGUUCUCUGGAAGAAUAGCCAGUGUCCAGAACUUUCAACUGCUGAGCCAUCUCUUCAACCCCAUGUAUUUUGUUUUUUUAAUUAAAACAGAUCCCAGUUUUAUCCCUGUAGAUAUUUUGCUUGCACAUGUGUCACCUGGUGCCUGUAGGGGCCAGAAGAGACAGUCGGGUCCCCUGGAACUGGAGUUACAGAUGGGAGCCACCUUGUGGGUAGUGGGAAUCGAACCUGGGUCCUCUGGAAGAGCAGGCAGUGCUCUUAGCCACUUAGCCAUCUCUCCAGCCUCUGGAAUCUUGUUUGGUGGUUUAUCUUCAGUUUCUUCAGCCACCCUGCUCCUGUCCAGCACACUUGGGCAAAAAGAGCCGAAUGAAUCUCUGAGGCUCUGGAGUGCCGGGCACACAUAACCUGUCGAAUGGUACUUUUUAGUUAAUGUUUAUUUCAUGUGAAGACUGAAAGUCCAGCAUUCUGUUUUUCCAGAAAUUAACAUUUCAAGCCCAGUUUCAUUCUGGAAACAUGACUGCUUUGUUCAUCUAUCUGAUUUUUUUUUUUUUUGGGUCUCUUUUUGUCUCCCUCACAGCUGACAAGAUGUUGUUCUUUUCCUCUGCUCUAUAAUUUAUAAAAUUGUAUUGCAGUUGGCUUGAGGAGAAUUGACUUAAGCAUAGUUGAGCCUGUGAGUUUUCCUUCUGGCAUGGACAAAAGCAUCAUUAAUUAUGAAUAUGAAUUCCUUUUGGAAGUGACAAGAUUGAACGUUUCCUCCUGCCAGCAGGCAGCUGUCUCAUUCUGAUGCUCAACACAGACGGGUUAGAGAUGAUUUCUCAUGGCUGUGGCAUCACAUGCUAAAAAAUAUAAGAUGCUAAAGAGAAUGCAGAUAGUUUAUCAUUGGCUUCUGUAAAGAAAAAAAAAGGUUUUGUGUUUUUCUUUUCUUUUUUUCUGUUUCCAUUCACGGAUGUGUUUGUGGUCUUCCACUUUGGGGCUGGCUGUAAUCCAGAGUCUGGCUGUGUCUUACUAUCUGUCUUACUGUGUCCAUCUAUCUAUUCAGGUGGUCAAGAUUCAAGAAUCCCAAGGCCCUGGAUCACCUUUUGGCUCUCCAGAAAACCUUGAGCGUCCACUUUGUUUGGUGAAGGGGUGGGAAUAAUGGUAGUCUCCGUUAUGGACUGACAUUCCCAUGUGUGGUCACACGCAGUCUGCCGUUAACACCAGGAGCUGAUGUACUGGGUGCAGGUUACAGAGGCUUGGAACUUUGACCCAGUAUCUAGGCCGUGAGUGUGCCCACGGGGCUAUCAUCUGUCUGUCUGUAAGGUGGUUUCCUGUGUUUCGAAUUCCCUGUUCUGUUCCCUGCAGCCUUUGUUGACAGAGAAGGCAACCCAGAUAUGGUGUAUUGAUGUUCUCACACUGGAAGGCCAUGCUGUCCUAUGUGUGUCCUCCCUGAUGGUGACAGCUGGGGUUUGGCCAGCUACUGAGGGACCUGCAUUGUUGUAUUUCUUUCCAGGGUACCAGAAGCCAGCACUGUUGAGGAUUCUCAGCAGAGUUUGGAACCCAAGGGCUCCUCUGUGUGUGUGUGUGUGUGUGUGUGUGUGUGUAUUGUGUAUAUACAUUUGCCUGUAUAAUUGUGAUCAUAAGAUGAAGGUCCAUCGUCUGGAGUUUUUCACUUACACCAGGUCACAAAUCAGAGUUUUAUCCUUUGUAGCGUUUUGUGGUUUUGGUUUCUGACUAAGAAUGCUCGGUCUGUGUGUUGCGUGCUUCCAGCAUGUAUAAUCCUUGAACGGGAGUUUAGCUUCACUCUUUGCCUUUUGUUGUCAAAUUUAUUUAUUGAAAAUUAUUGUCAACUUUGAAUUGUGGACUAGUUCCCUGUGAGUGGAGUGUGUUUGUGUUUAAGAAAGUUCUUCCUCUUCCUCCUCCUCCUCUCCUCAUCUUUUCUCCUCUUCUCUCCUCUUCCUCAUCUCUCUUCUUCCCCCCUCUUCCUCCUCCUCCUCUUCUUCUACUUCUUUUCAAGAUAGAGUUUCUCAUAGUAGCCCUGGCUGUCCUGGAAGGAACUCACUCUGUAGACCAGGCUGGCCUGAACUCACAGAGACCCACCUGCCUCUGCUUCCUGAGUGCUGGGAUUAAAGGCGUGCACCACUACUGCUCAGUGAAACAUUUCUUCUGACUU
rnacentral:lncRNA from 1 species